rnacentral:rRNA from 1 species
AUUGAACGCUGGCGGCAGGCCUAACACAUGCAAGUCGAGCGGAUGAAGGGAGCUUGCUCCUGGAUUCAGCGGCGGACGGGUGAGUAAUGCCUAGGAAUCUGCCUGGUAGUGGGGGAUAACGUCCGGAAACGGGCGCUAAUACCGCAUACGUCCUGAGGGAGAAAGUGGGGGAUCUUCGGACCUCACGCUAUCAGAUGAGCCUAGGUCGGAUUAGCGAGUUGGUGGGGUAAAGGCCUACCAAGGCGACGAUCCGUAACUGGUCUGAGAGGAUGACCAGUCACACUGGAACUGAGAAAGGGUCCAGACUCCUACGGGAGGAAGCAGUGGGGAAUAUUGGGCGAUGGGCGAAAGCCUGAUACAGCCAUGCCGCGUGUGUGAAGAAGGUCUUCGGAUUGUAAAGCGCUUUAAGUUGGGGGGAAGGAAAGUAAGUUAAUACCUUGCUGUUUUGACGUUACCAACAGAAUAAGCACCGGCUAACUUCGUG